rnacentral:rRNA from 1 species
UGAGGAAUAUUGNUCANUGGACGAGAGUCUGAACCAGCCAAGUAGCGUGCAGGAUGACGGCCCUAUGGGUUGUAAACUGCUUUUGUUUGGGAAUAAUCGACAUUACGUGUAAUGUUUUGCAUGUACCAUUCGAAUAAGGACCGGCUAAUUCCGUGCCAGCAGCCGCGGUAAUACGGAAGGUCCAGGCGUUAUCCGGAUUUAUUGGGUUUAAAGGGAGUGUAGGCGGUUGGUUAAGCGUGUUGUGAAAUGUAGAUGCUCAACAUCUGACUUGCAGCGCGAACUGGCUGACUUGAGUACACACAACGUAGGCGGAAUUCAUGGUGUAGCGGUGAAAUGCUUAGAUAUCAUGAAGAACUCCGAUUGCGAAGGCAGCUUACGGGAGUGUUACUGACGCUUAAGCUCGAAGGUGCGGGUAUCGAACAGGAUUAGAUACCCUGGUAGUCCGCACAGUAAACGAUGGAUGCCCGCUGUUAGCACCUGGUGUUAGCGGCUAAGCGAAAGCAUUAAGCAUCCCACCUGGGGAGUACGCCGGCAACGGUGAAACUCAAAGGAAUUGACGGGGGCCCGCACAAGCGGAGGAACAUGUGGUUUAAUUCGAUGAUACGCGAGGAACCUUACCCGGGCUUGAAUUGUAGGAGCACGAUACAGAGAUGUUGAGGUCCUUCGGGACUCCUAUGAAGGUGCUGCAUGGUUGUCGUCAGCUCGUGCCGUGAGGUGUCGGCUUAAGUGCCAUAACGAGCGCAACCCCUUUCCUUAGUUGCCAUCAGGUAAUGCUGGGCACUCUGAGGAUACUGCCACCGUAAGGUGUGAGGAAGGUGGGGAUGACGUCAAAUCAGCACGGCCCUUACGUCCGGGGCUACACACGUGUUACAAUGGCCGGUACAGAAUGUUGGUUGCAUG